UACUAGCGGUCCAAGUCGCAGCCACAUUUAUUGGGUCUAAAACAUCCGUAGCUUGCUUAGUAAGUUUCUUGUGAAAUCCUGUGUCUCAAGCAUGGGGCGUGCAAGAAGUACUGCUAAGCUAGAGACUGGAAGACGUAAGAAGUACGUUCGAAGUAGCGGUAAAAUGUGUUAAUCUCGAACGGACUCACAAUAGCGAAGGCAUCUUACGAGGACAGUUCUGACAGUAAGGGAUGAAGGCUAGGGGCGCAAAACGGAUUAGAUACCCGCGUA
rnacentral:rRNA from 1 species